rnacentral:rRNA from 1 species
UACGGAGGGUGCAAGCGUUAAUCGGAAUUACUGGGCGUAAAGCGCACGCAGGCGGUUUGUUAAGUCAGAUGUGAAAUCCCCGCGCUUAACGUGGGAACUGCAUUUGAAACUGGCAAGCUAGAGUCUUGUAGAGGGGGGUAGAAUUCCAGGUGUAGCGGUGAAAUGCGUAGAGAUCUGGAGGAAUACCGGUGGCGAAGGCGGCCCCCUGGACAAAGACUGACGCUCAGGUGCGAAAGCGUGGGGAGCAAACAGGAUUAGAUACCCUGGUAGU